CCCGGGCGCGUAGUGGCACGUGCCUGUAGUCCCAGCUACUCGGGAGGCUGAGGCUGAAGGAUUGCUCGAGUCCAGGAGUUCUGGGCUGUUGUGCGCUAUGCCGAUCGGGUGUCCGCCACAUGUUUAGCAUCCAGUUCAGCAUCAACCUGGAGCGGGGGACCACCAGGUUGCCUAAGGAGGGGUGAACCAACCCAAGUCAGAAACAGAGCAGGUCAAAACUCAUGCUGAUCAGUAGUGGGAUCGUGCCUGUGAAUAGCCACUGCACUCCAACCUGGGCAACAUAGAGAUACCCCGUCUCU
rnacentral:SRP_RNA from 1 species